UGCUGUUCUGUUAAAAAGAAGUGCUGCUCCAUCCUGCUGUGAUGUUUUCCUCUGACUUAUCCAGAGGGGGAGGUUCCAGAGAUGGACUGGAGGUUCACACGAUGCUGUUUGAUGGGAAACCUCAAGGACUCCUGCAUACCAAUAUGACAGAAUUAUGAUCUCCCGUGCCACCUGGGUCCAACACUCCACAACUACAGUGUGGUUCUACACUAAAGACCUCGACCACCUGUCAAAUACAUCCACACCACCUCUUGGCGCUUCAUUCUGCCACUCUUGGUUUCAGCUCACUCAUCUCUCCAAGAUGUGAACAGCUUCCAGUUUGCUACAUCCUACCUCAACAAGAACUCCCCUCCAGCUUCAGUCCAAAAGAGAACCAGCGAAAAAUAAAAGCUUUCUCUCAUCA